rnacentral:rRNA from 1 species
UACGGGGGGGGGCAAGCGUUGUUCGGAAUUUACUGGGCGUAAAGGGCUCGUAGGCGGCCAACUAAGUCAGACGUGAAAUCCCCAGGCUCAACCUGGGAACUGCGUCUGAUACUGGAUGGCUUGAAUCCGGGAGAGGGAUGCAGAAUUCCAGGUGUAGCGGUGAAAUGCGUAGAUAUUCUGGAGGAAUACCGGUGGCGAAGGCGGCAUCCUGGACCGGCAUUGACGCUGAGGAGCGAAAGCUAGGGGAGCCAAACGGG